GUUGGGUCAAUCCAGUUUUCAUUUUAAUUAAUUUGAUAUCAAUAGAAGAAAAUUGUUACAUGUUUAUUUGUUUAUUUGUUUAUAAUUUUGUUGUGAGGCGUUUUUUCUUUCUGUUGAUAUCAUAAACACGAAAUGCCUUCUACGCGUCUAAAACAAAAACAAAACACAGUGUUUUUAAGUCAGGCUGCACACAGAACAAUGUACAGAAUGCUGUGAUUUCUAAUUGGAGUUAUUUAGAUAAUUUCUAUGAGGUUUAAGACAGCACAGGCGUGCUUGUUGGAUUCAUUAUAGACCGCAGAAAGUAGUUUCUCUUUCGUGUGUCCUUUCUUGGAGUAAGGGAGAUAACUUGCGUAACUAACGACGAACGUUUUUAAUCCCGUAUUCCGCUAGAGGCGUGCAAUUACGUACACUUCGCCUUAAC
rnacentral:lncRNA from 1 species